GCCACUGUAGCUCAGUUGGUAGAGCAGUCCCUUCGUAAGGGAAAGGUCGGCAGUUCAAGUCUGCCCUGUGGCU
rnacentral:tRNA from 1 species